GCCCCAGUGGCGCAAAUGGAUAGCGCGUCGGACUUCUAAUCCGGAGGUUGAGGGUUCGAGUCCCUCCUGGGUA
rnacentral:tRNA from 1 species